CAUUAAAUAACUUAAAGUAAGUGAUGGUCCUUUAAACCAUUUUUAAUAGAUUAACGACUAUUUUUAAUGA
rnacentral:tRNA from 1 species